rnacentral:snoRNA from 1 species
AUCCCAUGAUGAGGACACUUACGAAGUAACUCCUUGAAUCACUCCCAAGCCUCAUACAAAGAAUCAUCAUCAAUUGUUGGGAAGUUACGAUCUCAUUCCUCAACUU